rnacentral:rRNA from 1 species
AUUGAACGCUGGCGGCAGGCCUAACACAUGCAAGUCGAACGAGUGGCGGACGGGUGAGUAAUGUCUGGGAAACUGCCUGAUGGAGGGGGAUAACUACUGGAAACGGUAGCUAAUCCCGCAUAACAUCAGAUGUGCCCAGAGGGGAUUAGCUAGUGGGUGGGGUAAAGGCUCACCAAGGCGACGAGCCCUAGCUGGUCUGAGAGGAUGACCAGCCACACUGGAACUGAGACACGGCCCAGACUCCUACGGGAGGCAGCAGUGGGGAAUAUUGCACAAUGGGCGCAAGCCUGAUGCAGCCAUGCCGCGUGUAUGAAGAAGGCCUUCGGGUUGUAAAGUACUUUCAGCGGGGAGGCGUUACCCGCAGAAGAAGCACCGGCUAACUCCGUGCCAGCAGCCGCGGUAAUAC